CCUACGGGAGGCAGCAGUGGGGAAUAUUGCACAAUGGGGGAAACCCUGAUGCAGCAACGCCGCGUGAGUGAGGAAGUAUUUCGGUAUGUAAAGCUCUAUCAGCAGGGAAUAGAAAAGAAGGUACCUGAAAGAGAAGCGACGGCUAACUCAGUGCAAGCAGCCGAGGUAAUACGGAGGGUGCGAGCGUUAACCGGAAUUACUGGGCGUAACGCGCUCGUAUGCGGUAUGUCAAGGCAAGGGGGAAAUCCCCGGGCUCAACGUGGGACCCGCCUUUGAAACUGGCAAACUGGAGUGUGUGAGGGGAUAGUGGAAUGCCAGGUGUAGGGGUGAAAUCCGUAGAUAUCUGGAGGAACAUCAGUGGCGAAGGCGACUAUCUGGCACAUAACUGACGCUGAGGAGCGAAAGCGUGGGUAGCAAACAGGAUUAGAUACCCCUGUAGUC
rnacentral:rRNA from 1 species